UACGAAGGGGGCUAGCGUUGUUCGGAAUCACUGGGCGUAAAGGGCGCGUAGGCGGCUUUAUAAGUCGGGGGUGAAAGCCUGUGGCUCAACCACAGAAUUGCCUUCGAUACUGUAGAGCUUGAGACCGGAAGAGGUAAGUGGAACUGCGAGUGUAGAGGUGAAAUUCGUAGAUAUUGGGAAGAACACCGGUGGCGAAGGCGGCUCUCUGGACCGAGACUGACGCUGAGGCGCGAAAGCGUGGGGAGCAAACAGG
rnacentral:rRNA from 1 species